UUUUUUUUUCUCAUUAACCCCACAUCUUAUGCGAGCUGGAAGUGAUCACUUUUUGUGUGUUGCAGGAACUGGAUCUAAGUGUGGACCUUAACGCAGCUAGUGCUGCAGAGGAAUGAUUGAGAAAAAAUGGCAAAGCUCUCUUCCUCUCUAGUCAAACAACUUGAUGUACUGGUUGUCUUUAUCCCAUCUCAAACGUUCUCACUUGUCUCCUCCCUUCAUGUUGUCUGUUUAAACACAAAAUCAGUUUGAUCUCCUCAUGUUGUCUGUUUCAUUCCUAAGACCAAAAUGUUGGAUUUCGUGGUUUAUAUGAAGUGGGGAUUAUUAAAGAAUACGCUCUUGCAGUUGAACAAUCCUCGCCUCUAUGGUUCCUUUAGACUCGUUUCAUGAUCUUUGGCCCAGCUAAGUAAAUCAACCAAAUGCUGAGAACACUAAACUGGCUCAAAUGAGGUAGUGUUUGUAAACUGAUCACCGUCAGGGAGUGAGAACUCAGGUCUUUUUGCCAAAGAGAAUGGUUGAAUGGACCAUACAACCGUGGAUUGCAGUUGUUAUAGUGUAUUAAAUCACCAUUGAAGAUAAGUUGCACCAUUCAACCCGAAGGCUCCCUCCUGUGCACUAUCUUUCACCAGUCACGACACAUCUGGAUUCUGGCUCAUCGCUGUAGUCUCUCACAGGACCUGACACAUUGGUCAUCAUUCCCAUUAAUGCCAAAGGAGACACUUCUCCUCAUCUUGUUCAUCUCCUCAUCUUUGCAUUCCCCACUCAAGCUUCCCAUUUGGUGAUAAGAUAGCUCCUCAUGUUGUUGACCUAGCCUUCUUCAGCGCUCGUUCAACCUCAGAAGCCUUUGAGAUUCAUUCCAGCUAAUGAAAAAGUGGUGGUUGUUAGGAUUCAAUCUUCUCCUCCUCCUCCAUAGCUUCAGCCCAGUUCAUCUAUCACCUUCUCUAAAUCGUUUAAACGUCCAUCUCCAUAUCCAUACCUCUAGCGCUCAAAAUUCAACUCUACUACCAUUAAGCUGCAAAGGUGGUAUAGUGUGUUACUUCUGCCAAAAAACCACCGUUUCUUGGAGACAAAAGGAACACCACUAUUACCCAAAGGAGAGAAGUUCAUAAUAGAUAUCUCAGGAGACUGAGGUGAAACCAUUGCUGAGACAGUGGAAGAAUUAACCAGUCUCAACUCAUCUCUUCUGUGAGCAAACAAACAAACAAACUCUCCUCCCACAACCUGUCUCGUCUUUACCUUCAUUCAACCAAAAGCUAAGAAAACCAAACCGGCUCAAAUGUGUUAGGAUGUGUUAAACGUUAAUCUGACAACCUUUCAGGGAAGUAGCCUGUAUAAGAACUCAAAAAUGUGAUCAACAAAGAUUUUGAAAAACAAAGUUUAUUAAUUAAAGAUUGUAUUCGACUAAGAUCAAACGGUCAAAACAAAGCAGCUCAUAUCCAAUCCAAACAAAAAAAAAAACUAUGAAAUGGGGGAAAGAUGAUAGAAGGAAAGCUAUUUCAUCAGUUCAUCCUCCUGACAAGCUCGUUGAUGAAGUUCUCCCUGUUUCCAGCAUCACCACCUUCAACGUAGUGGUUCCUCUUCUUCUUAAGACCACCGAGUGGUGCCUUCAACUGGAAUGGCCAAAGGAAGUUGUUGGCUUCUUUGAAGUGAGGUCCAACGGUCAUGAUCUCGUGGAUCAGAUCCUCCACGCAGAUGAUGUUGUGCUUUCCUAGAGCUUCGUUCACAAUGGAGUUGUCGGUGAGUGCUAUCCUCUGGUGGUUCAGCUUUCCAAAACCCCUCUUGUAGAUUAGCUCCUUCACACUCUUCAAGUUUGGGUAUCUGCACCAGACAUAUCAUCUCACACUUAGAGCAGAUUCUUGUGUUUACCAUAGAGGGAGAAGAAAGAAUCAGAUUACCCGUAAGUCACGUAAGGCUCAACACGACGCAACAUGUUGAUUGUUGCCUUGUUCACCUUAAGGAACACACCAUUGAAGAUCUGCACACACACAAGUUAACACACAAGUUAGCAGACAUAUCUUAUUGGUAAUCAUAUGAUGUCUGAGACUAGAUGAACUUAGGAGACUUUAAGACUUACUUGUCUCAAACGCAAGAGCUGCAGAAUCUUCUUGGUUUUUGGGUCAAUAGCGUUGAUUCUGCAAACACACAAACAUUCAUUUUAAGCAAACAAACAGAAACUGUUUUGGAACAUUCUGUAAGAGAAGAUCAACAACAUACCCACGGAUACGAAUGAUAAAGAGCAGUUUAGCCUCAGGGUCAACAUAGAACCCUCCUUUCAACUUAGCCUCACGCUUCAAACGGAUCAACUCAUUAUCCUAAAACAAUUGAGGAAAAAAAAGAGAGUCUAUUCAUCAGAACCACCAACCAUCAACAGAGAAAAGUAAUCUCAUUUAAGUGUGUUUAGUUAACCUUCUCUGCGUAUUCUUUAGCAUAUUGCUCAGCUCUCUUGAAGAUAAGCUUCCUGUUCUCAACGCUCUUCUUCUUAGCAGCUGCAGCUUCCUGUUUCUUAGCCAAUGCCCAUUCCUCUUCCCUCUUGAUCUUCUUUAGGACAGACUCUGGAACCACCACUUUGGAUUCAGCCAUUUCUCCUAACAUAACAAAAAAACAAAAACAUAAGCUUCCCAACCAAAACAGUAAACCAAAGAGACAACCUUUGAGCAUUGUAUUAAGCAGAAACAUUGAUGUAAUGACUUAAACCAAACAGCUAUAUCAUAAAGUAAAGUUUUUUUAAUAUGUAUACAAAACCUAGGAAGUGAGCUUGUCACUGGGUACAAGAGAACACUUAUGGUUCGAGACGAAAGUAUACGAGGAAGAUCGAAGAAGCUUACUUUGAGAGCAAGUGAGAUAGAGAGCGCGGCGCAGAGAGGAAGAAGAAGACGAAUGAAUCAAAAUGGGUUUUAGGGUUUUAAUUGUUAACCCUAUUAUUUUCUUUAAACGGGCCUAACAUUGGGCCUCGGUUAAUUUGGGCCCAGCAUCCACUUACAUAAUUAACCGGACCAUUGUAAAAUACCUUAAACGAGUGGUCCAAGUUAUGAGAAUAAUUAUAUGACAAACAAAAAUUCGUUUUGUAGUUCUCUUACAGGAUUCGCUUGGUGCCUUGGUUACAAAUUGAAAAUCUGAAAUGUUUCACUCUUAUUAUUUUAUUAUCGUCAGAAGUUUAUAAAAAAUCAUGGUGCAAAGAAUCGUAUAGCCCCAACAAGGGUGAAUACAAUUUUGAGCUGUGAAUAUUAAAUUUGGAGGCUAAUUUUUGGUUACAGAAUGACCAAGUCCAUGCUGUCUGGUAAACCAUAGAUCGAAUACGGUUUAUCUAAACUAGAAGUUAGUUAACUUUUUAAUAAUUAAUUUAAAACAUGCUGAUAUUCUGCACUAACUUGGUUACACUUGCACAUAUGGUCUUCUAGAAGAAAUUUUAGUAACCGUAAAGCAAGAAAGAAGAAAGACGUUUAUACGAUAAGUGCUUGGCCACUUCUUUCGUCCCCAUGAGGAAGACAACUCCUGAAAAAGGAAAUAAAAUAUCAAUCCUUUUCUAGAACCCUUAUCCUACUCUUCUAUUCUUAACUAUUAAUUUAUAUUUUUAAUUUUUAAUUUUCAAAACCAAUAUAGAUGUCAAUCAAAUAAGUAGAAACCAAUCCACUUAAGUCAAUCAACCAAGAAACACACAACACCCUCUUUGAUUUCGUAGCGAUUUCAAAGUUUCACUGUAAACCAACUAUUGCUAUCGUCGUGAACUUUGUUACUAGUAGAUAUUUAUUUAGUAAGAAUUUUGUUUAAAAAAUAUUGAAUUUUUUUUAGGAGUUUAUAUAUAUAUUACAUAUUUCUUUUUAAAAAUUUACUGAUCAAACUUAGACUGUAACUAAACUUAAGGUGUGAUUGAUGACCAAAGGAAUGCGAAUGAACAUUCAAUUCCUUAGAGCAUGUUUAUUGGUGCAAUCCCUUAGUGGGUGCUUAGUGAAUUUUUAAAUAUUAAAAUUGUGAUGGGGUCAAAAAGAAAAGAACCAAACUAUGAGGACUGGAUGUGCAAAAUAGCCAAAAGUAGCCAUUGAUGUUUCACGAGUCUUUCGAAUGCGACGGCGAACUUGAUUCCAACGAUGAGCAGCACGACAGAGAUGAACUGACGAUGUCGAAACUGAGGUGGAGGAGAGCUGACGACGCCGAUGAUUCAGGGACUGUGCAGUGGAGGAGAGCUGAGACGUUGGGGAUUGAUGAUUGGAGCAUCGGAGAGGGGAGAAACAACCAACCAUGGUCUCCAAUCUCGAGAUGCAGAGCGGCUUCAUGGCGUCGAGGAGUCGUCGAGGUGUCGAGGACUCCCUGUUUCGCCACCGAGAGAAGAAAAAGAAAAAAGACGAAAGACGACACUGCUCCUCCAGCCAACCUGAUUGUGCCACGUACCCGCUAAGCAACGUGCCUUCGAGAUCCAAAUUAGGCGACGUCCUUUGUUUAAUUGUCUAUUUUCCUUUUAUUUUAAUUGCCAAUUUAGCUAAACAACCCUCCUAAGCGACGCCGAUAAACAUGCUCUUAUGGUUUCCAUAAAAAUACACUAUUUAUAAGAAAUUAAUUUCUUUUUAUUCAUUAUCAUUUUUUUUGUAGAGAAUAACAAAGCAAAAUGAUUCUUCAUUAUUUUUGAAGAGGAACAAUAAUUCUCAUUCAUUCAUUUUAUUUUAUUCUUUUUCAUUUUUCUUUAUUUUUUAGGUGUUUUUUAAAUGGUCACCAGUCACACAUUUAAUGUUUUAUUGGAUUGUGUCUAUAACUGGCUCUACAUAACGUAGUUUUCGUUAGUCGACAAAAUUGUUACAGGAGUUGUCUCCCUUAACACUAGUGGCAGGUUUUUCUUUUGUGAAAAUUGCCAAGGUUAGUGUUUAGGCUAAUUAUUGAUAUGAAUAGGUGGUAAAAUUAAACAUGUGAACCAAAACGAUAUACUAUGCCAAUACACUCUACUUGACUAGCUAGAUUACCUACGACGGUGACUCGAGGAUUGUUCUGUUUUCACUCGACAAUUUUUGUUGAUGAUUCAAAACACAGAAGACGACAGAGAGAUAAUUACAAUAUGAUAUAACAAUAAUAAAGGACGGUUGACAAAAGAAGAAGACCAAUAAUGUGAGAACAAUGGACCCAGCUCUUAUCAAUGGACGACUAUAUUAUUAUUUUCCUUUCUCAUACACAUCCACUAAAAACAUUUUUGGCUAUGUUCAAUAAGGUUCAUUUUAGCUAAAAACAAAUAUUAUAACAUUUACGAAAAUCACAUAUUACAAGAUCUACACAAGAACAUCUUUCUAAGUCAUCAUCACCCUCUGCAUCCCCAUCCCCUGCAUAUGGACAUCACCGGUUUUGAAUCUAUGUGAUAAAGUUUAGUCUUACUCUAUAACGGCCAUCUAACAUUUCUUACCACUUGGUCGAAGUUCCCAAUAAUUAAAACAUGUAUUAACCUAAGCUGUAGUAAUUUUAAAAUUAAAAUUAAUUAGUCCCCCACAAUUUUUUUGGAACAUAAACUAAAACGUUAACUAGUAUUGUUUCCGUGGUUGAUAUUUGAAUUAGUAUCUUUGAACUAUUGUUUGGCAUUGUUGUGAUGUAACAGUUAAACUAUCUAUGUAACGUACCGACACCGGGUUAUGAUUACCAUGGGCUUAUUCGCGAAGAAAAAGACGAAAAAGAUUUUCGUAAUAUAUCAACAAAACUGUAAAUUGUAUUUUUCUUGGAUUUCAUGAAUACAAUGGGACGAAAUGUAAUCAUGAUAAGUCUGGUCAUGAGAAUGAAAUACAACAUAUUCAUAUAGACGUACGAUGAGAAGGAUCCGAAAACACAUGAUGGAGUGGAUUUGAAGAGAGUUACAACCAAGGAGUUGAUUGCGUAAGGCUGAUUUUCUGUUGUCAUUAUCUAAUUUUAGACUCUCUGCUACUAACUGUUAGAUGUUUUUUUUUUUACAGGAAAUUUGGUCUGGAUGAAAACACUAUUGACUUUAUUGGUCAUGCAGUGGCACUUCACAGUAAUGAUAGCCAUCUCCAUCAACCUGCGUAUGAUACUGUGAUGAGAAUGAAGGUAGUGAACUGCUCUUGUUGGACUUUAAAGUAUGUAUCUCCUUGUUAUAGAAGUCUUGUUUUUUGACAGUGUUGCUUUGAAUUUUUUUAAUCAGCUCUACGCAGAGUCCCUUGCACGUUUCCAAGGAGGUUCACCGUAUAUCUAUCCUCUCUAUGGAUUGGGAGAAUUGCCUCAGGUUUUUCUUUUAAUACAUGCUUCGUUCCGUUGGUUGAACUAUUUUGACGUUUCUGGAUUAUCUUUGAACUUAUUUCUUCUAUUACUUGUUUCAGGCAUUUGCAAGACUUAGCGCUGUCUAUGGUGGGACUUACAUGUUGAAUAAACCUGAGUGCAAGGUAUGACUUUGGCUUCCUUCAGCUCUUUGUUUUGCUGAUUCUGCUGCUUACAGAAAGAGAACUUGUGACGCCAUUAACUGUUGCUUUUAUAACAGGUGGAGUUCGAUGAGGAAGGUAAGGUUAUGGGUGUUACAUCUGAGGGAGAGACUGCCAAAUGUAAGAAAGUUGUCUGCGAUCCUUCCUACCUGCCCAACAAGGUAAUGACUGAUAAUCACAUAUCUUCUGGUUAUUUACGUUAGGAGUAUGUUUGAUAUGUUUUAACUUUUUAUUUAAACAGGUGAGGAAGAUUGGCAGAGUUGCUAGGGCGAUUGCCAUUAUGAGCCACCCUAUUCCAAACACCAAUGAUUCUCACUCGGUGCAAGUCAUCCUACCUCAAAAGCAAUUGGGCCGCAAAUCAGACAUGUGAGUUCUCUUAUUCGUCUUGUGGUUGCACUGAUAGAAGUAAAUGAGUCUUUAUGACUGAAACAAAUUGAAACGUUAGGUCCAUAUAUUAUUAGGUGUGGUAGCUAAGUUAUGUCUGAUUAUACUCUUGACUCUUGAGCUUGCUGAGAUACCUUAUCACUUGGUUCACACUUAAGUUUGGUAGGACACUCGUCUCAACAAUAUUGUUUUCUUGGUUAUAAUACACUGACAUUAUAGAACCUAGCCGUGUGUAAAUAUUGAGUGGGUUGAUAUGUUUGUUUCCCGGCUCAUGAUAACAUUUUGAUUGUAAAUUGACAGGUAUGUCUUCUGCUGUUCGUAUUCACACAACGUUGCUCCCAAGGGAAAAUUCAUAGCAUUUGUGUCGACAGACGCAGAGACUGACAACCCUCAGACCGAGCUGAAGCCUGGAAUCGACCUUCUCGGUCAAGUUGAUGAGCUGUUCUUCGACAUCUAUGAUAGAUACGAGCCUGUCAACGAACCCACUCUGGACAACUGCUUCAUUUCAACGGUUUGUUUACUUAAAAGCCUUUAUCUGUGAGCAUCUCAAAGUUAGAUUGCUUCUAAUAAAAACUUUUUUUUUAACUCCCGUCUUAAACAGAGUUAUGAUGCUACAACACACUUUGAUACUACUGUUGUUGAUGUGUUGAACAUGUAUAAACUUAUCACCGGCAAGGUAAUGCUCCAGAUUCUUACAAAUAUUGUUUUUUUUUUUCUCAUUAACCCCACAUCUUAUGCGAGCUGGAAGUGAUCACUUUUUGUGUGUUGCAGGAACUGGAUCUAAGUGUGGACCUUAACGCAGCUAGUGCUGCAGAGGAAUGAUUGAGAAAAAAUGGCAAAGCUCUCUUCCUCUCUAGUCAAACAACUUGAUGUACUGGUUGUCUUUAUCCCAUCUCAAACGUUCUCACUUGUCUCC
rnacentral:lncRNA from 1 species